AUGGUGGUUGUGCUUUCUGCUGUGUUGACUGACAGAUUUUGUAUCACUGUGGUGACACUUUGGGGAGGAACCAAACUCAUCGUUGGCUCGGGUGUGGUGAGGCCCACCCUCACAGUCCUCCCUCCCUCCAAAGAGGAAGACAAACAGAGUAGUGCCACUGUGGUGUGUUUGGCCACCGGGGGCUUCCCCUCAAACUGGAAUUUGGGCUGGAAGGUGGGGAGCACCAGCACAUCCUCAGGGGUUUCAACCAGCCUGGAGGUCUUGGGGACAGAGGCCGCUACAGCUGGAGCAGCACCCUGAGCCUCUCUGCAGACCAGUGGAGGAAGGCGGGCUCAGUGAGCUGUGAGGCCAGUCUGAGUGGACAGAGCCCCGUCACUCAAACCCUGGAGCCUGACCACUGCUCAGAGUAGAGCUUCAGCAACACUUCCUGUCUUGCAUAUGAUGUGUUUUAUAGUUUGAUGAAGCUACAUGUUUCUGUUCUUGCAAUAUCUCUGCAAACAUUUGACUCUCUAUUGAUGUGCAUGCUAAUUUGAGCAGCUAUUAUUAUCCAUGUUGUUCUUUAAAAACGUGCUGUAAAAAAAGUCUAAAUCACAAAAUAAAAUCACAGCUUAAGAAA